rnacentral:lncRNA from 1 species
CCGCCUCGACGCCAGGAGGCUCCGGACUCGCCUGCCCGCGGCCUCCGGGCAGGUUUGUACCAGAGGACGAUAAAAUCCGUUGAGGUCAGCGACAGGGCAGGGCCCACCCCAAACCCUCUGUUCUGCCAGCAUUUGUAGAGUUUCCUGCGCUGAAGUAGAACUCCUGCCAGAAAAAGGGUUACUUUCCUCUUUGUGUCUGUCAUCUUCCCGCUCCCCUGGGAGCUCUGAACAUCUUCAGAACAGCCUCUGGGACUUCCUGGGAUGUCCCCUCCCUGGGACCCUAGGGUCGCAGGGCGCUGCGGGCUUUACUGGCGGAGUGUCCGCUCUGUUAGGAAUCAGGUGGAAAGACGACACGUAAUCUAAUCUCUUAUCCUAAUGAGCCACUGAGCUUGUUUUCCCUUUUUCCCUUUCAAAACUGUCAAGGGCGAGCAGAAUCCGCAAAGCUGGUCUCUCUCUGGACAGGAAUCCACCUUCUCCCCCAGAUUGCCGGCUUUUCUGACUAAAGCAUCUUUCUCUUCAGCAGACACACGCCCCUCCACUAUUGGCUCUAGGAGGGAAAAGCCCAGAAGAAACUCUCACCUACUCACACUCGACCACGCUGCUCAGGGCGCCGGCGGUGUGGGUGCUCUGGAAUUUCUCGCCCCUGAAUCUCCACUGGACACGAAAGCCGCUGUUAGGGUAAGACCGGAACCUCGACUCCAGGAAAUCUCGUCCUUCCGCCCCAGAAGAGGAGCCUGGGCCUCAGAUUCCAGCGUCUGAGGAGACCCCCCCAGGUCCUCACCCUUUGCCGCCGGCCGGGCUCCUCCGGGUCGAAGGUGAGACUCGCAGCAGCAACUCCGAGUCCGGACCCUUGGUCUCCCCUUGGACCUGCGCCAACGAGGAGAUGCCCCCCCCCCGCCCCCGGACGUGACCAGAUGGAAACACGUUCAUUCCCUUCUGCUCCGGAGAAAUAUUUAGUCAGGAGCCCCAAGGACGUCUUACGUAGUGAAAAUAUUCGCCGCCAAAUCAUAGUUUGGGAACUUAGGAAAUACAACUUAUGCAAAAAAAAAAAUGUGGGGAGGUCCACUUGAAGGCGGCUGAGGAAAGGCGGGAAGAAAGAGGACGCGGUAUUAGAAGGAGACAGGAAGGAACAAGGAGACUCUUAAGAGGACAAGGAGCCCAGAGUUGGUGGGAUGCUUCGGCAGUGGGUUUGGGAGAGCGAGGCUCCACUUGUGGAACGUUCCCAGGCAUGAUUUGACUAUCUUUUUGAUGCCACGAGCAUUCUGGCUCUACCAAGAAGGCCGGAAAUAGGUUUGUCUGGAGUUUAUCCUUGAAAUUUUUCUUUUUAUCAUUUGGGGGUGGGGGUGGGAUGAGGAGGGUUCAGGGUAGGCCGGUAAAUAGACUUGCAAAUUCUUAGGAAUAAAGUCAGGACCUUGUUGAAUUCUUUGGGGUUAACUGGCAUGUAGCAUUCUUUGGGAAAUGUUUAUAUUCUUGAGCGCCCAUGCCCUUUUCCAGUGUUGCCAUGAGCUGUGGUGUAGGUCACAGAUGCGGCUCAGAUCCCGCGCUGCUGUGGCUGUGGCAUAGGCCGGCGGCUACAGCUCCGAUUAGACCCCCAGCCGGGGAACCUCCAUAUGCCAUGGGUGCAGCCCUAAAAUAGCAACAAUCAAACAGUUAAUGUAAUAAUCGACCUACCAAACUAUAAUACAAAUAUAUUGGAGGAUAAGGCAAGGGGAGGUGUGUGUGUGUGUGUGUGUGUGUGUGUGUGUGUGAGUGUGUGUAUGUUAGUGAUGUAAGGAGUAAAUGAAAGAAACAAUGCCUAAAAUUUGAAAAUCAAGGAUUAGAAAUAAUUAGGAAUAAGAGCAUAAACAAGUCAUUGGUUACAUGUGAUGAAAAUUUGUGGGAGUACAUCAGGGGAUUUCUGUUUUUCUAAACAAAUUUAUGAGCAUAUAUAACUGAUAAACAUAUACCCUAAAUCAAAAUAAUUCCUUUGCCGUAUAUAUGUGUGUGUGUGUGUUUAUUUAAAGUUCAUUAUUUUCAUCUUGAAUAUAUAUUUUUAUGUAAUCAUAUUAAUCACUCUUUCAUUUAUUUAUUUAUUUUUUUUGUCUCUUGCUGCUGGCCUACACCGGCACCAUAGCCCACAGCAACACCAAAUCUUUAACUCACUGAGCAAGGCCUCAACCUCAUGGUUCCUAGCUGGAUUCGUUCCCACUGUGCCAAGAUGGGAACUCCAUAAUCACUCUUUUAGUUUAAGGAUUCUGGGUUUGGUACUAUGGACGGAACAUCUUCCCACUGUUGGUCCAUAAAAAUUCUGGCAAAAAUAAGUUCAAGGAAAUGGUAGGUAAGUACUAUCCAGCUUUGGCGAAAUGGUGGAGAAAAGAAUAUUCUUGUAAAACAUUGGGAAUAUGACCUGCUGCAUCUUCUUUUCAGGGUAAUUAGGUGAGAACUAGCAAAAUUAGAAAUGAGCAAGUAUUUUUAAAAAAAAAAAUUUUUUUAGGGCCACAACCACAGCUUAUGGAAGUUCCCAGGCUAGGGGUCAAAUCGGAGCUGAAGCUGCCAGCCUGCACCACAGCCACAGCAACUCCAGAUCCAAGUCGCAGGUCACAGCCAUGCCGGAUCCUUAACCCACUGAGCAAGGCCGGGGAUCAAACCCACAUCCUCAUGGAUACUAGUCAGGCUCAUUACCACUGAGCCACAACGGGAACUCCCCUCAAUUUUUAAAGGCUAUACUCCAUUUAUAGUUAUAAAAUAUUAGGUAUAUUCCCUGUAUUGUACAAUGUAUUCUUGUAGCUUAUUUCUUUUAUACAUAAUAGUUUAUACCUCUUAAUUCCCUACCCUUAUCUUUCCCCUCCUCCUUCUCUCUCCUACUGGUAACCACUACUUUUUUCUCUAUAUCUGUGAGUCUGUUUCCUUUUUGUUAUAUUCCCUAGUUUAUUGUAUUUUUUAGAUUCCACAUGUAGGUGAUAUCAUACAGUAUUUGUCCUUCUCUGUCUGACUUAUUCAUUUAUCAUAAUACCCUCCAAGUCAAUCCUGUUGUUGCAAAUGACAAAAUUUCAUUCUUUUUAAUGGCCAAGUAGUAUUCCAGAGUGUAUGCAUGUGUGUGUGUGUGUGUGUGUGUCUGUGUGUGUACACCACAUCCUCUUUAUCCAUUCAUCUGUUGAGGGAUGCUUAGGUUGCUUUCAUAUCUUGGCAUUUGUAAAUAAUGCUGCUAUGAAUUUUGGGGUGCAUCUAUCUUUUUGAAUUAGUGGGGUUUUGUUGUUGUUGUUGUUGUUGUUGUUGGUUUGUAUACAUACUUAGGAGUGACAUUGCUGGGUCAUGUGGUAGUUCUCUUUUUAGUUUUUUAGUUUGAGAAACAGUGGCUGCACCAUUUUACUUUCCCAUCCACGGUGUCCUUUUCUCCACAUCCUUGCCAACAUUUGUUAUUUGUGUUCUUUUUGAUGAUAGCCAUUCUGACAGGUGUGGGGUGAUACAUCAUGAUUUUGAUUUGCAUUUCCCUGAUGAUUAACAAUGCUGAGCAUUUUUUUAUAUGCCUGUCGGCCAUCUGCUUGUCCUCUUUGAAAAAAUGUUUAUUCAGGUCUUCUGCCCAUUUUUAAAUUUUUGUUCAUUUGUUUUGAUGUUGAGUUGAAUGAGCUGUUUAUAUAUUUUGGAUAUUAACACCUUGUUGGUCGUAUCAUUAGCAAAUAUUUUCUCCCAUUCAGUAGGCUGUCUUUUCAUUUCGUUGAUGGUUUCCUUUCUGUGCAAAAGCUUUGAAGUCUACUUUGGUCCUAUAUGUUUAUUUUUGCAUUUGUUUCCUUUGCUCUAGGAGACAGAUCCAAAGAAAUAUUGCUAUGAUUUAUGUCAAGGAGUGUUCUACCUACAUUUUCUUCGAGGCGUUUUAUGAUUUCUGGUCUUACAUUUACUCUUUAGUACAGUUCGAGUUUAUUUUUGUAUAUAGUGGGAGAAAAUGUUCUAAUUUUAUCCUUUUACAUGUAAUUGUUCCGUUUUCCCAGCACCGCUACUUAAGAGGCAGUAUUUUCUCCCUUGAAUAUUCUUGCCUUCUAGUAGAUUAAUUGACCAUAAGUGUGCGGGAUUAUUUCUGGGUUCUCUAUUAUGUCCCAUUGGUCUCUGUAUGUGUCUGUUUUGUGCCAUACCGUUUUGAUUACUAUAGCUUUUUGGUGUAGUCUGAGGUCAAGGCGAGUGAUUCUUCCCGCUCUAUUAUUCUUUCUCAGGAUUGCUUUGGCUAUCUGGGGUCUUUUGUGUUUCCAUACAAAAUUGAAAUUAUUUGUUCUAGUUCUGUGAAAAAUUCCCUUGAUAUUUUGAUAGGGACUGCAUUGAAUCUGUAGAUUAUCUUGGGUAGUAUGGUCAUUUUAACAAUAUUAAUUCUUCCAAUCCAUUAACACAUAUACGUUUCCAUCUGUUUGUGUUGUCCUCAGAAAUGAGCAAAUAUGUUGAUCUGGCAAUUCCAUUUCCAGGAAUCUACGGAGAAACAGACAAGUGAUGGCUGAUUAUGUAUAAGGCAGUUCCCUGCAGUAGUUUUUGCAGUAGUAAAUACUGGAGCCAGUUUCAUGACCAUCAGUUAGAAAAUGUUUGAAUAAUGAUCUAUUUAUAUCAAGAAGGAUGAUAAAUUUUUUUUCACUUUUUAGAGCAGCGUCUGUGGCAUAUGUAAGUUCCCAGGCUAGGGGUUGAAUAGGAGCCAAAGCUGCCAGUCUAUGCCACAGCCACAGCAAUGUGGGAUUCAGGUCACAUCUGUGACCUACACCACAGCUCACAGCAAUGCCGGAUCCUUAACCCACUGAGCAAGGCCAGGGAUUGAACCCACAUCCUCAUGGAUAUUUGUUGGGUUUGUAACCUGCUGAGCCACAACAGAAACUCCAAGAAGGAUACUAAUUAAACAAAGCAGAUAAUGAAAAUGCUGAUGGCAAUGGCAGUGAUAACAGCCAAUGUGUACUGAACAUUUACUAUGGGAGAAGCCCUAGGCUCAGGGCUUUACCUACACAUCUCAUUUAAAACCGCAUUUAAACUUUGGACAACCCAAGUACUCCAUUUGGUUCAUUUUACAUUAGCAAUGAAGGUACAGAAGUCAAGGAACUUGUUCUACCAAUCCGGUUUCCUGCCCAGAGCCUGUGGCUUCACCACAGGUGUGACCUGAGUUCUCUUGUUCUCCAUUUUAGGGAUUCCCAGUGUUCCAAACAUGCUAAGCUGUAAAAACCUAGCCUCUGGAAAAGUAGGGGAAGAUAUUUGGUGAGUGUGGGUUAGAUAGGCUCUGGAGUUCUAAAAUGGACUUUUUGCCCAAGACAGCAUUCUUUGCUAGACGUACCUGAGGAAGGCUAGAGUCUUGAGAGGAGAAACUUGAGGGUAAGGAGCAGGUAUCCCAAGGAAAGAUGGAAAAAUAGCUUUCCCAUAAAUAUAACCAUCGCCAGGUGGGCUCAAAUCACCAAGCUUUUGGCCAACUGCUCAACACUCUAACCAGUUACACCACAGAGACACCUGCUUGGGGUACCAGUGGGCUGCCAAUCAAUCAUAGCAUACAUAAUCAAAGUGUUCAUAAGGCGCAAACUGGUUAUAAAAUAGGUACUGGGGAUGUCAGGUGUAACACGAUGACUUUGGUUAACAUUGCAUUGGAAAGUUAUUAAGAGAGUAAGUCUUAAGAAGUCUCAUCACAAGGGAAAAAAAACCCAUCUUUUUCUAUCUGUAUCAGAUGAUGGAUGUUAACUAAACUUAUUGUGGUAAUUUCAUAAUGUGUGUAAGUCAAUUCAUGAUGAUAAACACCUUAAACUUAUACAAUGCUCUAUGUCAAUGACAUCUCAAUAAAUCUGGAAAAAU